AGCAACCGGAGGCGGCGGCGCGUCUGGAGGAGGCUGCAGCAGCGGAAGACCCCAGUCCAGUCUUGCAGGUCUCCCGAGGGCAGAAGGUGACCAGCCUAACGGCCUGCCUAGUGGACCAGAGCCUUCGUCUCGACUGCCGCCAUGAGAAUACCACCACUUCACCCAUCCAGUACGAGUUCAGCCUGACCCGUGAGACAAAGAAGCAUGUGCUCUUUGGCACUGUCGGGGUGCCUGAGCACACAUACCGCUCCCGAACCAACUUCACCAGCAAAUACAACAUGAAGGUCCUCUACUUAUCCGCCUUCACUAGCAAGGAUGAGGGGACCUACACGUGCGCACUCCACCACUCUGGCCAUUCCCCACCCAUCUCCUCCCAGAACGUCACUGUGCUCAGAGACAAACUGGUCAAGUGUGAGGGCAUCAGCCUGCUGGCUCAGAACACCUCGUGGCUGCUGCUGCUCCUGCUCUCCCUCUCCCUCCUCCAGGCCACGGAUUUCAUGUCCCUGUGACUGGUGGGGCCCAUGGAGGAGACAGGAAGCCUCAAGUUCCAGUGCAGAGAUCCUACUUCUCUGAGUCAGCUGACCCCCUCCCCCCAAUCCCUCAAACCUU
rnacentral:sRNA from 1 species